GAAUAUUGGACAAUGGGCGAAAGCCUGAUCCAGCAAUGCCGCGUGCAGGAUGAAGGCCUUCGGGUUGUAAACUGCUUUUGUACGGAACGAAAAGCUUUGGGUUAAUACCCUGGAGUAGUGACGGUACCGUCGGAAUAAGCACCGGCGCACUACGGGCCAGGCGCCGCGGUCAUACGUAGGGUGCAAGCGUUAAUCGGAAUGAUUGGGCGUGAAGCGUGCGCAGGCGGUUUUGUAAGACAGAGGUGAAAUCCCCGGGCUCAACCUGGGAACUGCCUUUGUGACUGCAAGGCUAGAGUACGGCAGAGGGGGGUGGAAUUCCGCGUGUAGCAGUGAAAUGCGUAGAUAUGCGGAGGAACACCGAUGGCGAAGGCAACCCCCUGGGCCUGUACUGACGCUCAUGCACGAAAGCGUGGGGAGCAAACA
rnacentral:rRNA from 1 species